rnacentral:rRNA from 1 species
GACGAACGCUGGCGGCGUGCUUAACACAUGCAAGUCGAACGAAGUGGCGAACGGGUGAGUAACGCGUAAUCAACCUCCCCUUCAGGGGGGAACACCAGUUGGAAACGACUGUUAAUCCCGCAUACUGAAGGAGGGGUUUGCGUCGGAUUAGCUAGUUGGAGGGGUAACGGCCCACCAAGGCGAUGAUCAGUAGCCGGUCUGAGAGGAUGAACGGCCACAUUGGGACUGAGACACGGUCCAGACUCCUACGGGAGGCAGCAGUGGGGAAUAUUGGACAAUGGGCGAAAGCCUGAUCCAGCCAUGCCGCGUGUGUGAAGAAGGUCUUCGGAUUGUAAAGCACUUUAAGUUGGGAGGCGUUACCAACAGAAUAAGCACCGGCUAACUCCGUGCCAGCAGCCGCGGUAAUAC